UUCCAAGUGAAUCAUUCAGAUUUUAGUUAUGAACUCUGCCAGAGUUUUUUUUUUAGAGUGCAAUUGGUGAGUUGGUGCAAUUUUUUUUUUAGAACAAACGGUUACCUGUGGACGUUGGGAAUUCCUAUAACAUCAACAACAGCGUUGAUCAAUGUGUAUCAUUUUCACUAAAUGGCCAACCGCUAGCAAUAGCUCCGUUAGGUGAUGAGGAUAAUGUUGAACUAAUGCGAGUAACUACAACUGCUAAUAGUACUCAUAUUGAAAUGCAACUGAGUUUCUCAUCUAGUUUCUCAUAGUCAUAACAUGAGGAUGCAAUCAACUUUUUCUAAUUUAUCAGAAAUAUCUUGUAACAAUGACGCAAAGGAUCCAAAAUCGAGAAAAAACGGAGUCGAGAGAAAUCGAGAAAAAACUCCGUCGGAGUCGAGAAAAAAUCGGAGUUUCGAUAAUAUUUUGUUAUAAAAAUUAAACUAUCUAUUUGAUAAAAAAAUUAAACUCUCUAUUUGAUAA